AAUAGCCUAACGGCUGAACCAGCAACUUGGAGGAAUGUAUAGCUAAGCUAUAUGGGUUUUACAUUUUUGUAAAAAACAUAUUCGAUUUAUUCGUAUGAAGUUCUAGGUAGAAUUAUGAUAAUGACAUUAUCUAUCUAUAAGUCUUGACCAACAUGCGUGCCAGCAGUCGCGGCAAGACGCUAAAGACUAGUGUUAUUCAUUUUAAUAGGUUUAAAGGGUACCUAGACGGUAAAUUAAGCCUUAAUCGGUACUAAUUUAACUAGAGUUAAAUGUAAGGGUGCAUUAACGUACUAUUGAGUGUAGAGAUGAAAUUCUGUCAUACCAGAUUAUUGGCACGGGUUUAGGCGAAAGCAUCACUUUAUGUAAUAACUGACGUUGAGGGACGAAGGCUUUGUAUCGCUAAAAGGAUUAGAUACCCUCGUAGUCUAAGCAGACAAUGAUGAAUGUCAUAGGUUAAAUAUUGUUUAGUCUAUAAAUGAAAGUGUAAGCAUUCCACCUCAAGAGUAAUUUGGCAACAUUGGAAUUGAAAUCAUUAGACCGUUUCUGAAACCAGUAGUGAAGUAUGUUGUUUAAUUAGAUGGUCCACAAAAAACCUUACCACAACUUGAAUAUUUUACAAGCGUUGCACGGCUGUCUUCAGUUAAUGUCGUGAGAUUUUGGUUAGUUCCAUUAAUUAACGUAAACCCUUGCUUUAUUUUUAUAUAAAGUAGUUCGCCGCUAUAUUGGUUAGAUAAA
rnacentral:rRNA from 1 species